AGGUGUGAGGGUGAUCUGGCUGUGACAUCUGUCACCCCAUUGAUCACCAAGGAUGUUUCGGCUGGUGUGGCUAGCUAAGCAAGUGUCCCCUUCCUCCCUCACCGCUCCAUGUGCGUCCUCCCAAAGUUAUGCACCCAGUUGAAGAAGACCACCUUCCUGGGUAGAGGAGGAUGGUUCUUCCGUCAGUCAAGGGUACUCAUAAGUAGCUGUGCUCCCCUGCUAGAGCCUCCGAACAAGCUCUGAAAUUGUCAAUGACACAAAAAAAUGAAGAAAAAUUGAGGAACUGUUCAAAUCAAAGCCAACUUAAGAAAGACAAUGCUUGGUU
ensembl:misc_RNA 7SK 7SK RNA